GAACUACAACAAAAACAAUAUCCUUUGUGUUGUGUGUGUUUUUGUGGUUUGGAAUGUAUGAUUCACGCACUAUGGAACUGCUGUGCGUGCCGACGACGGUGCAACAAAGAGACCUAAGGAAGGAAGGCGGAACUCCCUAUACCUGAUGGAAGAUGCUGAAUGUGAAGAAGAAGGAUUUUUAAAGGCCCUUACUGCGCGCGUCUAUCUACGCAGAUGGCGCACUACAGUGAUGCAAUCAGAACAUAGCGGCAAACAAGAUUAAAAAAUAAUGUAAUUUUAUGUAUUUAAGCUGAUAAAGAUCAAGGAGUGAUAAAAAUACAUUAAAUUGGUAAUUAUUAUAACACUUCCUUCAAUUUUAUAAGCAGUUUAAUUAAUAAUCAGAUAUUUUUGGAAUAUCAUAAU